rnacentral:lncRNA from 1 species
AGAGUUUAAAUCUGGGAUCGACUGACGAUAAUGCCUUGUACAACCACAUCAUAGUUAAUAGGAUACUUCUUAUAGUCUCUUGAUUUUUUUCACAAUUUUGUCUUGACUAGACCUGGCCAAUUCAAAAUUGUUAUACUGUAUGAAUACUUGCCUUUCAUCAUCGAUUUUGUUUUGAACCGUAAAUUGUUCUUGUUUUUGUUGUUGCUACUUUAG